rnacentral:rRNA from 1 species
GCAGCCGCGGUAAUACGUAGGUGGCGAGCGUUAUCCGGAAUUAUUGGGCGUAAAGGGUGCGUAGGCGGCCUGUUAAGUUUAAGGUUAAAGCGUGGGGCUCAACCCCAUCACGCCUUAGAUACUGGCAGGCUAGAGUACUGGAGAGGGAAGUGGAAUUCCAUGUGUAGCGGUAAAAUGCGUAGAUAUAUGGAGGAACACCAGAGGCGAAGGCGGCUUCCUAGACAGAGACUGACGCUCAGGCACGAAAGCGUGGGGAGCAAAUAGGAUUAGAUACCCC